AGAGUUUGAUCAUGGCUCAGAUUGAACGCUGGCGGCAGGCCUAACACAUGCAAGUCGAGCGGCAGCGCGGGGGCAACCCUGGCGGCGAGCGGCGAACGGGUGAGUAAUACAUGGGAAUCUACCUGGUAGUGGGGGAUAACUUCGGGAAACUGGAGGUAAUACCGCAUACGUCCUACGGGAGAAAGGGGGGGAUCUUCGGACCUCUCGCUAUCAGAGGAGCCCAUGUCCGAUUAGCUAGUUGGUGAGGUAAAGGCUCACCAAGGCAACGAUCGGUAACUGGUCUGAGAGGAUGGUCAGUCACACUGGAACUGAGACACGGUCCAGACUCCUACGGGAGGCAGCAGUGGGGAAUAUUGGACUAUGGGGGCAACCCUGAUCCAGCCAUGCCGCGUGUGUGAAGAAGGCCUUCGGGUUGUAAAGCACUUUAAGCAGGGGAGGAAGGCUCGUAAGUUAAUAACUUGCGGGAGUGACGUUACCUGCAGAAUAAGCACCGGCAAACUCCGUGCCAGCAGCCGCGGUAAUACGGAGGGUGCAAGCGUUAAUCGGAUUUACUGGGCGUAAAGCGCACGUAGGUGGUUUGUUAAGUUGGAUGUGAAAUCCCCGGGCUCAACCUGGGAGCGGCAUUCAAUACUGGCAAACUGGAGUACGAGAGAGGGGGGUGGAAUUCCAGGUGUAGCGGUGAAAUGCGUAGAUAUCUGGAGGAACACCGGUGGCGAAGGCGGCCCCCUGGCUCGAUACUGACACUGAGGUGCGAAAGCGUGGGGAGCAAACAGGAUUAGAUACCCCUGGUAGUCCACGCCGUAAACGAUGUCGACUAGCCGUUGGGAAACUUGCUUUCUCAGUGGCGCAGCUAACGCGCUAAGUCGACCGCCUGGGGAGUACGGCCGCAAGGUUAAAACUCAAAUGAAUUGACGG
rnacentral:rRNA from 1 species